rnacentral:rRNA from 1 species
CCUACGGGUGGCAGCAGUGAGGAAUAUUGGUCAAUGGACUUACGUCUGAACCAGCCAAGCCGCGUGCAGGAUGACGGCCCUAUGAGUUGUAAACUGCUUUUGUACGAGAAUAAUAGUUCUUACGUGUAGGGAUUUGAAUGUAUCGUGCGAAUAAGGCUAGGCUAAAUCCGUUCCCACAGCCGCGGUAAUACGGAGGAUUCGAGCGUUAUCCGGAUUUAUUGGGUUUAAAGGGUGCGUAGGCCGUCGGUUAAGUUCGACGGUAAAUGUCGGGGCUUAACCCCGUGCCUGCCUUUGAUACUGGUCUACUAGAGUGCGGAUGCAGCAGGCGGAAUGAGUAGUGUAGCGGUGAAAUGCUUAGAUAUUACUCAGAACACCGAUUGCGCAGGCAGCUUGCUAAUCCGCAUCUGACGCUGAUGCACGAAAGCGUGGGUAGCGAACAGGAUUAGAUACCCUAGUAGUC